GACGGACGCUGGCGGCGUGCUUAACACAUGCAAGUCGAACGGAAAGGCCCUGCUUUUGUGGGGUGCUCGAGUGGCGAACGGGUGAGUAACACGUGAGUAACCUGCCCUUGACUUUGGGAUAACUUCAGGAAACUGGGGCUAAUACCGGAUAGGAGCUCCUGCUGCAUGGUGGGGGUUGGAAAGUUUCGGCGGUUGGGGAUGGACUCGCGGCUUAUCAGCUUGUUGGUGGGGUAGUGGCUUACCAAGGCUUUGACGGGUAGCCGGCUUGAGAGGGUGACCGGCCACAUUGGGACUGAGAUACGGCCCAGACUCCUACGGGAGGCAGCAGUGGGGAAUAUUGCACAAUGGGCGGAAGCCUGAUGCAGCAACGCCGCGUGCGGGAUGACGGCCUUCGGGUUGUAAACCGCUUUCGCCAGUGACGAAGCGUGAGUGACGGUAAUGGGUAAAGAAGCACCGGCUAACUACGUG
rnacentral:rRNA from 1 species